rnacentral:rRNA from 1 species
CGGGUGCACUGAUCCGGCCGGGCCUUUCCCUCUGUGGAACCCCAUGGCCUUCACUGGCUGUGCGGGGGAAACAGGACUUUUACUGUGAAAAAAUUAGAGUGCUCCAGGCAGGCCUAUGCUCGAAUACAUUAGCAUGGAAUAAUAGAAUAGGACGCGUGGUUCUAUUUUGUUGGUUUCUAGGACCGCCGUAAUGAUUAAUAGGGACAGUCGGGGGCAUCAGUAUUCAAUUGUCAGAGGUGAAAUUCUUGGAUCUAUUGAAGACUAACUACUGCGAAAGCAUUUGCCAAGGAUGUUUUCAUUGAUAAGGAACGAAAGUUAGGGGAUCGAAGGCGAUCAGAUACCGUCGUAGUCUUAACUAUAAACUAUGCCGACUAGGGAUCGGACGAUGUUAUUUCUUGACGCGUUCGGCACCUUUCGAGAAAUCAAAGUGCUUGGGCUCCAGGGGGAGUAUGGUCGCAAGGCUGAAACUUAAAGAAAUUGACGGAAGGGCACCACCAGGGGUGGAACCUGCGGCUUAAUUUGACUCAACACGGGGAAACUCACCAGGUCCAGACACAGUGAGGAUUGACAGAUUGAGAGCUCUUUCUUGAUUCUGUGGGUGGUGGUGCAUGGCCGUUCUUAGUUGGUGGAGUGAUUUGUCUGCUUAAUUGCGAUAACGAACGAGACCUUAACCUGCUAAAUAGCCCGUACUGCUCUGGCAGUUCGCCGGCUUCUUAGAGGGACUAUCGG